GAUGAACGCUGGCGGCGUGCCUAAUACAUGCAAGUCGAGCGGACGGACCAGAAGCUUGCUUCUCUGUCGUUAGCGGCGGACGGGAGAGUAACACGUGUAUCACCUACCUAUCAUACUGAUAUAACUUCGGGAAAGCGGCUCUAAUACCGGAGGAGAUUUUGAACCGCAGUGGUCAAUAGUGAAAUACGGUGUUGCUGGCACUUAUAGCGGGAUCCCGGCUGCAUUGGCUAGUUGGUAAGGUAACGGCUUACCAAGGCAACGAUGCAUAGGCGACCGGAGGGGGUGGUCGCCGGCAUUGGAACUUAGCCACGCACCUGACUCCUACGGGAGGGCGCAGUCGCCAACGUGACGCAAUGGGCGAAAGCCUUACGGAGUAACGGCACGUCAGUGAUGAAGAUCCUGCGAUCGUAAAACCCUGUUACGAGUGAAGAACCUAUUUGGAAUGAAACGAGCACAUAUUGACGGUAACUAAUAAAAAAGCAACGGCUAACUACGUG
rnacentral:rRNA from 1 species